GAAUUCAGCAAGGUAGCAGAAUACAAGAUUAACACACAGAAAUGUGCUGCAUUUCUUCACACCAACAAUGAAAUAUCAGAAAAAGAAAAAAUACACACAGUCC